CGCCGGCGACCGGCGCACGGUGAGUAACACGUAUGCAACCUGGCCGUGACAGAUGGAUAACCGGGAGAAAUCCCGCCUAAUACAACAUAAUGCCGGGAGGGGACAUCCCCUGCCGGCCAAAGGGGGCGACCCCGGUCACGGAUGGGCAUGCGGCGCAUUAGGUAGUUGGUGGGGCAACGGCCCACCAAGCCGACGAUGCGUAGGGGUUCUGAGAGGAAGGUCCCCCACAUUGGAACUGAGACACGGUCCAAACUCCUACGGGAGGCAGCAG
rnacentral:rRNA from 1 species